rnacentral:rRNA from 1 species
AUUGACCGCUGGCGGCAGGCUUAACACAUGCAAGUCGAACGAGUGGCGGACGGGUGAGUAAUGUUUGGGAAUCUAGCUUAUGUCGGGGGAUAACUACGGGAAACUGUAGCUAAUACCGCGUACCAUAGGAUGAGCCCCAGUGGGAUUAGGUAGUUGGUGAGGUAAAGGCUCACAAAGCCGACGAUCUCUAGCUGGUCUGAGAGGAUGACCAGCGACACUGGGGCGGAGACACGGCCCAGACUCCUACGGGAGGAAGCAGUGGGGAAGAUGGCGCAAUGGGGGCAACCUGACGCAGCCAGGCCGCGUGAAUGAAGAAGGCCGUCGGGUUGUAAAGUUCUUUCGGUAGCGAGGCGUUAACUACAGAAGAAGCACCGGCUAACUCCGUGCCAGCAGCCGCGGUAAUAC